GGGCUCAUAGAUCAGUGGAAGAUCGCCGCCUUUGCGAGGCGGAGGCCGAGGGUUCAAAUCCCCCUGAGUCCA
rnacentral:tRNA from 1 species